rfam:Drechslerella stenobrocha 248 unplaced genomic scaffold DRE_Scf_12, whole genome shotgun sequence.
GGCAAGAUGGCCGAGUGGUUAUGGCGUGUGACUCAAGCGCAAGCUUCGCUGGCUCAGUCAGUGUGUUCUCAUGGGCUUUGCCCGCGGGGGUUCGAAUCCCCCUCUUGUCA